GAUGAACGCUGGCGGCGUGCCUAAUACAUGCAAGUCGAGCGAACAGACGAGAAGCUUGCUUUUCUGAUGUUAGCGGCGGAAGGGUGAGUAAACCGUGGAUAACCUACCUAUAAGCCUGGGAUAACUUCGGGAAACCGGAGCUAAUACCGGAUAAUAUAUUGAACCGCAUGGUUCAAUAGUGAAAGACGGUCUUGCUGUCACUUAUAGAUGGAUCCGCGCUGCAUUAGCUAGUUGGUAAGGUAACGGCUUACCAAGACAACGAUGCGUAGCCGACCUGAGAGGGUGAUCGGCCACACUGGAACUGAGACACGGUCCAGACUCCUACGGGAGGCAGCAGUAGGGAAUCUUCCGCAAUGGGCGAAAGCGUGACGGAGCAACGCCGCGUGAGUGAUGAAGGUCUUCGGAUCGUAAAACUCUGUUAUUAGGGAAGAACAAAUGUGUAAGUAACUGUGAACAUCUUGACGGUACCUUAUCAGAAAGCCACGGCUAACUACGUG
rnacentral:rRNA from 1 species